rnacentral:rRNA from 1 species
GACGAACGCUGGCGGCGUGCUUAACACAUGCAAGUCGAACGGAAAGGCCCUGCUUUUGUGGGGUGCUCGAGUGGCGAACGGGUGAGUAACACGUGAGUAACCUGCCCUUGACUUUGUGAUAACUUCAGGAAACUGGGGCUAAUACCGGAUAGGAGCUCCUGCUGCAUGGUGGGGGUUGGAAAGUUUCGGCGGUUGGGGAUGGACUUGCGGCUUAUCAGCUUGUUGGUGGGGUAGUGGCUUACCAAGGCGUCGAUCCGUAGCCGGCCUGAGAGGAUGAUCGGUCACACGGGAACGGAGACACGGUCCAGACGCCUACGGGAGGCAGCAGUGGGGAAUAGUGGACAAGGGGCGAAAGCCGGAUCCAGCCAUGCAGCGUGUGUGAAGAAGGUCUGCGGAUUGUAAAGCACUUUAAGUUGGGAGGAAGGGCAGUAAGUUAAUACCUUGCUGUUUUGACGUUACCAACAGAAUAAGCACCGGCUAACUUCGUG